GUAGGUGGCAAGCGUUGUCCGGGAAUUAUUGGGGCGUAAAGCGCGCGCAGGCGGUUCUUUAAGUCUGAUGUGAAAGCCCACGGGCUCAACCGUGGAGGGUCAUUGGAAACUGGAGAACUUGAGUACAGAAGAGGAGAGCGGAAUUCCACGUGUAGCGGUGAAAUGCGUAGAGAUGUGGAGGAACACCAGUGGCGAAGGCGGCUUUCUGGUCUGUAACUGACGCUGAGGCGCGAAAGCGUGGGGAGCAAACAGGAUUAGAUACCCUGGUAGUCCACGCCGUAAACGAUGAGUGCUAAGUGUUAGGGGGUUUCCGCCCCUUAGUGCUGCAGCUAACGCAUUAAGCACUCCGCCUGGGGAGUACGGCCGCAAAGGCUGA
rnacentral:rRNA from 1 species